UAAUAGUUAUACAUCAUACUACCAUAAACUAAUAGGUUAUAAUAAAACUACUAACAUGCUUAAUAUUGAACUGAGAUCAGGCUCUACUUCAAAAAUAGAACCUGACACAAAGUCCCAGGAGUCAAUGCCCAAUUAUAUGUCAAUAUCAUGAACUAUACGUCAAUAUCAUUAUAUGUCAAUAUCAUGAACUAAAUAUAUCAUGAACUAUACUAUAGCAAUUAUAACCAAUCAAAAAGAUACAUCAAAAUUUCUUUGUCAGAUGGAUCAAUCAAAUGAAAAGCCGGAUUUUGGCAAUGUGGCCGAAAUUUCGAGCGAAAGAUUAUAUAAACUGGACUGUGUAGCUCAGUUGGUUAGAGCACUGCACCGAAAUCGCAGGUUCGAUUCCUGCCAGAGGGUCUCCAGUUGCAUUUUUCGCAGCCGCUCCUGGUUUGGUCUAAAGUUCUAUAUAAUCUUCUGCUCGAAAUUACAAAAACCCAAUUCAAUUGUUAGUUCUACUGAGACUGCGUGAUGCCCAAAGGUCCUGAUUGUAUGUUAACUUUAUAUAUUGCUAAACUAUUUUUUAUGUCUUAUUAAAAAACUCAUUAAUAUUUCAUGAGGAAAACACAAAGAAAAAUCAUAAGCUUGUCGUAUCUUUAUAUGUGAUUGAGAUUUCCCUUGAUUUAUAGAAACUAGUAAGUUCAUUGGCGAAGUAAUUUUCAAAAAUUACGUUGUCUAAGUC